AGUUAAGAACCAUACAAAAAACAC
rnacentral:miRNA from 1 species